rnacentral:rRNA from 1 species
GAUGAACGCUGGCGGCGUGCUUAACACAUGCAAGUCGAACGGGAAUUAUUUUAUUGAAACUUCGGUCGAUUUAAUUUAAUUCUAGUGGCGGACGGGUGAGUAACGCGUGGGUAACCUGCCUUAUACAGGGGGAUAACAGUCAGAAAUGGCUGCUAAUACCGCAUAAGCGCACAGAGCUGCAUGGCUCAGUGUGAAAAACUCCGGUGGUAUAAGAUGGACCCGCGUUGGAUUAGCUGGUUGGUGGGGUAACGGCCCACCAAGGCGACGAUCCAUAGCCGGCCUGAGAGGGUGAACGGCCACAUUGGGACUGAGACGCGGCCCAGACUCCUACGGGAGGCAGCAGUGGGGAAUAUUGCACAAUGGGGGAAACCCUGAUGCAGCGACGCCGCGUGAAGGAAGAAGUAUCUCGGGAUGUAAACUUCUAUCAGCAGGGAAGAUAGUGACGGUACCUGACUAAGAAGCCCCGGCUAACUACGUG